rnacentral:rRNA from 1 species
AUACGAAGGGUGCGAGCGUUGUCCGGAAUUACUGGGCGUAAAGAGCUCGUAGGUGGUUUGUCGCGUCGUCUGUGAAAUUCCGGGGCUUAACUCCGGGCGUGCAGGCGAUACGGGCAUAACUUGAGUACUGUAGGGGAGACUGGAAUUCCUGGUGUAGCGGUGAAAUGCGCAGAUAUCAGGAGGAACACCGGUGGCGAAGGCGGGUCUCUGGGCAGUAACUGAGGCUGAGGAGCGAAAGCAUGGGUAGCGAACAGGAUUAGAUACCCUGGUAGUCCAUGCCGUAAACGGUGGGCGCUAGGUGUAGGGGUCUUCCACGACUUCUGUGCCGUAGCUAACGCAUUAAGCGCCCCGCCUGGGGAGUACGGCCGCAAGGCUAAAACUCAAAUGAAUUGACGGGG